UCGCACUAAAUUUGUAAGGAGUUGGAACGGCGUCACUAUGUUUGCCGCUAGGGGCGCUGUUCCAACUCCAUACAAAUUAGAGUUA
rnacentral:pre_miRNA from 1 species